GAAAACAAUGUCCGAUCUAGCUCGUUGACAUUCAAUUGAAAGAACUGGCAAACAAAGCUUCACACAUCACAAAAGACGAAAUCCCCAAGGUGAUAUUGAACGCCACUUCAACUUCUACACUGAGGAGAAGGCACUCAAGAUAGAUAUCCGUUCAUGUUGUCUGCAAGUGAUUCCAGACGUUUCAGGGCAACAGUGCUGAACAGUGGAUUGCUGAAAGGGAAAACACCCAGUUGGUAAGGGUUCAAUGGCCAUUGAUAAUUGGAGAGUAUUAUUGGAAUGCAACAGCUUAUCUGGCUUCGUCUGGUCCUAAGUUACACCAAACAAAACACAUCAUAAGUUACUUUAAAAAAUCUAAACAAAUUUAGAUUAGGAUAUUUGGACUUAAUAUUUCAACUUAAAUUUCAGCUGAAGUUUUUGUGUGACCUAGGUGCUUGUGACAAUAGAAAUCAAGGUUAACUUCCCCUGUCAAAUCGUGGUAAAUCUUCAAGAUAUUGAUGCCUUCCCCAGAUCCAAUUCUUUGCUGCUAUCU